ensembl:lncRNA
GAAUGAGCUUAGCAGAGGAGGAACUGAAGUGUGUGGUGCAAAAAAGAGUUAGAGAUGAAAGAUGAGGUACUGAGACCAGAACGUAAAAAGGAAGGCAGUCAUCCGGGAGAGAUUGGGAGUGCUGCAGUAAGUUUUCCUUUGGCAUCCAAGAGAGAAGAGAUGUCAGACAGUUGAUACCAGAGCUGCCACCUGACUCGUCGCUGAAUGCCAAAGCACACCUCUGUGUUCUACUUAACAUUGGUAGGUCAAUAGACUUUCCUCAAAGUCAUUGCAAAAGUAAGUGUGCCACCUUCAGAGCUGGGCAGCAAUGGAUUAGAAACACAACUUAAACCCAACCCGGGCACUCCUGUGAUCUGCAGAGCUCGUGGGGCUUGGCUUCCCUUGGGUGAUCUCUUACUUGGAUUCUCCCAUGUCUAGCAGGCUGGAGGCUCUGAUUGCAGUUUUUCUGUGGGUGGGUAUUCAUUAUAUCUUUCAUCUUUGCAGCUUUCCCGGUGUUUAAUAAGGGUUUAACUCAAGCUGCAGCGGGUCUCAUCUCCCUUGCUUAGCAGUCUGUUUUCACAAAAUGUAUAAGAAUGUAAUUUUUUAGAGCCUUUUAUUGCUCCGUCAGAUGUGGUUAAAACUGGCUGUUUGUUCUCGCUCCCCCUUCCUCUUUCAUAACAUGCAGGUAUGCACAUGCAUGUAUGUGUGCACGCAUGCACACACACACACUGUUCAUUAAAAUCUACAAAGAGAGAAUGAUCUCAAAAAAAGUUUGAAUUCCUAUAGGAAUCCAGGCUAGGAAAGAGAAGCGUUGUCAUAUAUUUUUUUCCCCUGGGAGACAAAAAGCAGGAAGGUUGUUUGUUUUGCUGGGUUUGAUUUUGGAGGCAGAUAGAAUAUUCAAUUACCUCUCUGUUUAUGUAUCGUGUUGCUGAAAAUCUGGCCCUAUUGUUGUGAAGGAAAAGAUGUAGUGGAAUUCUUGUCCUGGAAUUGCACUCUGAUGCUUAUGCAAGGCACGCAGACUGAGCAUUCAGUGCUCGAGUGGUCCUGCUGAGCCUGGGGGAAUGCACGGGGAACUCUGUCUUGCAGUGAGAUCCUGUCUCCAUUAAAUCUUCUGGAGUUCUGCCACGGAUUAGAAGACGAUUUACCCUUCACUUGUAAGUAAUUAAGAUGAUAGUGGAGUUUCUGAAUUUUCCAACUUUCUGAGAACAAACUAAUAGCAGUGAUCCACUUCAAUAAUUCAGAUAUUAAUCGAGGCGUGAGAAACAAUACAUCAAAAAAUAAUUAAGCUUAUGUUAAUUAAUUUUUAGAAAUAGGAAGGACACCUGAGGCAAAGUGCAGACAUUGGCAAGUGUCUUUAGAUUGGGAAGGCUGUCUAGAGCAGUUCUGAAACGAAAAUGGGUCAGAAGGACCACGAGUGAUGUGCAGCAGGGUCUGAGAAGUAACAUAAUUAUGGGAUUGUCAGUGAGAUGCAAAAAAGGCAACAAAGAUGUAUGGGCUUUUCCAUAGCAGCCAGAGGUCAAUCAGCAGUUGAAGGUAUCUACUGUUAUUUUAUGUCAGCACCAUCAGUGCGUUAAUUGUUGUCAUUAUCAAGGCUCAAACGUGUAUCUUCCAGUCUUAAGCUGAACUACUGACAGUGCUUUUACUGAGGUGUUUCUUAGAUAAAAUUUAGUAAAGUAUCAGCUUUUUUCCUUACAGGUUUCUACAGCUGUAACUGGAAUUUCACAUCUCACCCAGGCGAGAGAUGUGAAAUUCUUCUCUUCCUUGGUAUUUCUGAUAUAAUUCUCCUCCUCUGUGGUAUUUACUGCAGGAAAAGAAAGCUGAACCUACAUGUUACCAUGGUCCAAAUUUUAAAAUUUUACUUCUCUGCACUGUGAAGACAGAAAAAUCCGCAAUGAACCAUGAAACUUUCCACUUCCUCUUUAAAAGUUAAUAAGUUAAAGGCACAAACCUCAUUUGUUCUGCUGCUCUUCAUGCUCAUGCCUACUUUUAAUGGCAUUAUGCUUGCAGCAAAAGCCACAAAGGUUUUAUGUGCCACCAUGGGCAUGCCAGAAAGUACGCUGAGCAACACGGGCUCCUCGCAGGAGGAGAGCAGAUGGGGGUCUGCCACCAGUGGCCCUGAGAGCUGCCAGAGCGAGCAGGGGAUGCAGCUGGACUGUAACCCCAAGCCUCUUUCUCCUAGAGGGAGCCACAGAGUCCUGUUUGAUCUCGCUUGGGCAACUUGAAUUCAGAUUGAAGUGACGUUAUUUUUAGGAAUCUCUCAUCCCUCUAAAAAUAUUUCCUUUCAGAGUAUAUAAUUCCUGCUAUUAAGUUUUCAAAUUUUCAGUAAACAUAUGUGCGUAUAUAUAUAAUUUGCCACUCUCUUUCAUUUCCACAACGGCCUAAUUUCCUGCUAUUGGUAUUAUUAAAAGUAAAAUGCCAAAUUGGAAGUGAGACAGAAUUAUGCCAGACAAGAAGUACAUAACAACCCCCUUUUUUUUCUUAAUCUUUUUCAGGUGAAUCUAUAUUUAUUUCCAAUCCAACCUUGUGACAGGCUACGGAGAAGGAUCCUUAGAGACCGUAUUACUGAUUCUGCAAGUCAUGGUUAUAGGUUUUUUUUCCCCUGAACAGUUAUCUGAAGGAUCCUAUGUUUUGCUUUUUCCCAAUUAUUUCUGUAAUUUAACUAUAUCUGCUUCAGUGAUCCUGAAGGAUAGGACUUACGCUUAAAGAGGAUACUGAUGGGGUCCAACUGUGUUAUGUUUUAGGAAGCUUUAAAAAUAGGUGUUUCUGAUUUAAGUGAGGUGAAAUGAAAGAGUUAUCUCUCUACAGUGACAUUACCUGCUAAGUGACAACUUAUCAGCUUUGUGUGCCUAUCUGAUUUUUCUCAUUGUCUUUCUUCAAGUAGGGAAGAGAUCAGAUGAAUGUUUCCUCUUUGAAAGUAACAGAUUUUGUUAAUUAAAAAUGUUCUUAGGUGAAAUAAGUUGCCAACGGAAUAAAAAACACACACAUUUUACAGAGUAGAUGUUACUACCAUACUCUUUAUUUAAAAGUACACACAAAUAAAAACAAGACAAUACAAUUAAUGGGGGAAAAAACAUACGUAGCGCACUGAAGUUCUUUAGUUGCACAGUUUAACGCUAUAGAAAUUACAACCAGCAGAAUUAGUUUUCACUAACGUUACAGAUAGUUCCUGUUUACUGGGUCAAAUACUAAAAGAUCCUCAUGGACUUUGGCAAUUGGCACAAAGUACAAAAAUAAUGUCACUUAGGAAGCUACAGCUGUAAUGAAUGAGGAAUAAUUUCUGACUAAAAUGCAACAUGACUCUUUUCAUCCUAAUUGCUUAAAAAAAUUGUAAAUAAAAUGACUAGGCAAUAAAAAAUGUUUAUGAUGACUGUUCUCACACACAGGCAUGUGCAGAGCUUGGACAGAUCUCCUGUUGGCCUCAUUCUUUGAAGAUCUGUCACCAGUGUUUGAGAAGAGUCAUGGCCUUUAGAUGUGUGGAUGGACUGGGUGAUUAGACUACUUAUUCAUAGGUUCUUCCCCUUCUGCGGCUAGGCUGCAUGCCUCACAUCUUUGGUCAACUGCAGAAAGAAGCUGGAGCUGGUGUGUUACUGCUGUCAGCUGUACCGUCCACUAGUUUGAGAGGCCUUUCCUUAUCCUAUGAACAACUUCCACUGGAUGCAAGUGCUUCAAUGGAAUCAAAUGUCUCCCCUGUGAACAGCUGGAUCCAGGUACUGGAGAUUUCUCUUUGACCUUUCUUAAAUGGAGUUGCUUAAUUGAGACAUCCAGGCAGAAACCAAUACUUUUAGAAUUGCCUUCACCAUUUAAAAUAGGAAAACUGCUAAAAUCCAAUUUUACCCUUAAUAAAUAUUAUUUGCCCUUUAUAAUGUUACAGUUGGAUAUUACUGCAUUUGUACAGCAGACUAACACAGCCUUUGAUAUCCAUGGCAGACCUACAGAAUAGUAGACUUUUCAGAUGCUCGAGUGCUAUUUGCGCUUCUCUGGGUGCUAGAAAUCCUGGCCUCUUGACAGACACUUCAACACAGCAAUUUCCCGCAUGGUCUGGCAACCUCGACACCCCAAACUAAUCUACAUUUUCCUGCUGAAGAUAGUCCUACCCCUCCUCAUUUGCUUCCACCCCUGAAGCCCUGUCCAGUCCUGUACCAUUUGACACAAUUUAGCUUGCAGUGCGGAGGAGUAUUUUUGCAGAGUUGGUUUCCUAGCAUAUGUGUAAGUCAAGCUCAUUGAGAUGUCAGGUUAGCUCAGCUUCUGGUCAGACCACACCUACUGCUCGAGCCUGCUCCCACCUUACAAAAUUUGUACUCUGGUAGCCAUUCAUCACAGGAUAGGGAGGUGCUUUCUGGGGGAUGGUGAUACAACCCCAGCCAACACCUUCCUCUAACCAUUGCUGCUUCCUUGACAAUUUUACACUAGGCAAGGAAUAAUUUCUCUGUUCAUGUUCAACAGAAUGAACUCAAGUCAGGCAACUACCUCCAACUACCUUGUGCUGACAAACGAAACCUCUCAAGUCAACCUGCCAGUUUGUCCUGCAGUCCUGUCAAAAGAUUCUAUUCCUAAGCAAACGGGUCUAUAUGCGAUGCAGAAAUUGAGUGCAAUCCCUAUGAAUAGCAGCUGAAUCUCUUUUCAUGUUUGCUAAGGUUUAAACUGAAGAUGAAGGCCAACAUUCAGGAUGAGGUUGGAUUUGAGUAAAUGUGGUCUGAUUCAAAACCUUGACAUUAUUUUGUUUUUAUUUGGUACCACACAAAUAUUUUGUUUAAAAACCAGAACCAUAUGGCUCUCCAGAUUUUACUGAAGUUGUUCCACUACUUGACUGCAUUGCCUCAAAUUCAGAAGACACCUCCCUGAACUGUUUUUUGUGUCCUAGUUACUUCUUCAGGCCUGUGAUUUACAGGUAUUCUGCUUGUUGCCCUUUUAGUUUUAAGGUAACUUGUUGAACUGAUUCCCUACCAGUCCUUCAAUUUAAAUCCCAGCCUUUUAAAACAACUGAGUUCCAGUUUUUACAGAAUACGGUACAGAAUACACCACACCAGCGUGCAUUCCUGCCUAUCUUGUCCAGUUGCAUUCUAGACUUCUGUAUGACAAAAAAACCACUUUACGGAGGAACAGUGUAACACAGAUGUGAACACUGAGCUGGACCACAUACCAACGAUCCUUCAGUAAUACCUUCCUUUAAAGACAGGGUCACUGGCAGAAGGGCCUAUUGAAACCAGAAAUAAUAUAUUGUAACUCAGAAGUUUCAAAGGAGUGUACAAACAGAAAAGACAUUUCCAUGUACUGCUGGCACUGCACCUGACGGAAGAUGAGUUAGCUGGUGCACUUCCUUCAGAAUUUGUGCAACUCUAAGAUGUAAAGCAACAAGAUGCAGUUACAGUGCUCAAAUAAAGCAAUGAGCUAAAAACUGGAGAGGUGUUAGUUGUAGCUUUCUUUCUAACUUGCACGAUCUUUCACAGCCUUCCCUAAAGUUUCAUCAGAAUCUCUCCUAAACUCCUCUGCUAUUUACAGUAAAGUCUGUAUCUCAACUGUGAAAUGGCCACAUUUUGGAGUAUGGUAAAGUUAUUCUUGUCAUGUAUAGACCAGUUGUGCUUUAUCUACGUAGCUCAACUUAGAUACAACACAUCCUUUUCUGCAAAUAGACUGGGAACUGGUCACUGGACCUACAGUUUACCAGAAGAAGCCUAGAAAGAGGGCUUUAAGAGGGAAGGCUUUUCAAUAAUGUACCUGUCAAGUUUAGUUUAUUCAGGUCACAUACUGAGACAUGACAUUUGAUGAUUAAUCUCAAAUAAGAGGAAACAGUGGCUCCUCUGAUUGGGCAACAAACUCAGCCUCACUGGUGAUCUCAAGUCAGUGCUAAUUCAGCAAGAAGACCACCACCUAACAGAGCUCCCAUACAGUACAGAUGCAAUACCUGUUAGAUUCAGGGCUUUUCUAGAUUGAUUUCAUUCUAGUAUGUCGAUAGACAAAAAGCUACAACUAGUAUCUUUUCUUGUUUCCUUUUAUUCUUGAAUAUUUUUGUUUUUUGUUUCGCAUGUGUUCUUUAUCUUCACUGCAAAGCUGCAAACUAAAACUUUCUUAUCAGGUUUUUAUUCAACAUUUGCAAAUCUUUUUGCUUCUUUUUUUUUUGUAAUAUAGCACAUCUAUUUCUUUGGCAAAUUUCUUGUAACUUAACUUUCUCUUUUAAUACUCACAUCUAUUCUAUUAUUCUUCUCUUUUUAAUCUGAAUUUAAUAUUAACAUCACAGCGUCCCCCUAAUUUAAAGAAUUGGACUAGAAACGUUGGUGGUCCUCAGCUGGUCCUCAGUUCUAUUAACAUCCGAGUCUUAAUGAGCUAAAAAACUCUCAAUGUAUAAAAGCAACCCCAAUAGUUGUAUUUCAGAUUAUUCUGUCCUUAAGCACUGCAGCUAUGCCACAAGCCUGCAAACCAAUCCAUACAGGUAAACUUUUAGAUCAGCAGUGGCUUGCUGAAGUCACAAGAGCUCUCAAAAUACAUCCAAUUGUAGAAGCAAUUCUAGUUUAGGUCCUAGACAACAUACUUCAUCUAAAACAAAAAAAACUGAUACUAUUUAGUAAUACCCUUUUAAUUAGCAAGGCCCGUUUUCUUAAUGUCAUUCCCACCUUCCCAGUAUACAAACAGGAAUCAUUUCUUGUACAGUUCAAUCUUUAAAUGAACUGUAUCAGAAGUUCAAAGUUACCUGUAAUAAUUCUGAUUCCAGCAUGACAGCGUAUCAUCCAAUUCACUAAAAAUGUCUAAUGCUGUACAGGAAAUUUCAGAUUUAAACCAGCUGUAGAAGACUUUUUUUAGAUCCUACAGCAGCCUUACACUGCACAUAAUCUCGCAUUUUCAUCUUGCCCCUGAAACUUGCUCGUGUAUAUAUAUGUAAUUCCUUUUUAAGGUUGUGUAUUCUAGCUUAUACUGGCCAAAAAGUAUUUCUGACAUUAUCAUAUUAUUACGCCAAAUAAGCGUGACUUCUGUUCCUAGUCACUACUUGUGCUUCUUAGGGAGUACUGAAACUAAAAUAAGUAAGACUACAAAACAUGCAGUAAGAGCAAUCUUCUGCUGAUGGGAAGAUACUGCUGGCUUCCUCCAUCGUGACUUCCUGCCAUUACAUUCACAUUAUCAUGGUCUGUUUUUCCUGGUCUGUGAUAGUUUUGGGCUAAGGCUGGGCACUUACUGCAAGGUCAUAGUGAUGGGCUGAUUCAGAAGCACUGUUUAUUCUCCGUUUGGGGAAUAUGCUGACAAUCCUGGCCAGCAGAAUUCCCUGGCUAGCCGAUAGCUUCAGCUACCUAGCACAAACACGGACAGAUAAGAAUAUGCUUAACCUAUCUCCCAUGGAAUUCUCAGUGACAACAGUUCUUCAGCCCAGUGCUUUUCAACCUCAUUCACAGACCUCCAGAAUUCUCUAUGAAAGAUAACUAAGAAAAAAGCACGCUCUGGGGAGCCUGGAAGCUGAGGGUCGCCUGCUGCCAUGGCCUACGUGCUGCUGCAUCACGCCUCAGAUGCGGGGCAGCUGAGGCCACGCUGGGCUGGUGCACCCUUAAGGGAGCCCCUCAUGAGCUCUGGGGGUGCGACAGAAGCAGGCCCUGCCAAUCGUCUGUGCACCAUCACGUACACGGACAGUGCUUUAUACCGAUUUCCUGUCAGAGUUCAGUUUCCUACGUUUCCUCGUGUUGCAAAACACGAAGGACAGAGCAGCCAACCGAUCAUAAGGGGAAUCUUGUCAGCGCCCAUUACUGUGACUGAAAGAAGCCCGUGUGCGAGAAUAACUGCUUGGCCCCUUCUCUGAGGCCUCUGCUGAGCCCUCGCGUCUCUGGAGGGCUGUGCCUGACGCGGGAGCCGCUCAGCCGGCCGCCAGGUGCGAGCCGCGGCCGCCAGCUCCUUACGUAACGG